CAUAGGUUAAUGAGGCGAACCGGGGGAACUGAAACAUCUAAGUACCCCGAGGAAAAGAAAUCAACCGAGAUUCCCCCAGUAGCGGCGAGCGAACGGGGAGCAGCCCAGAGCCUGAAUCAGUGUGUGUGUUAGUGGAAGCGUCUGGAAAGGCGCGCGAUACAGGGUGACAGCCCCGUACACAAAAAUGCACAUGCUGUGAGCUCGAUGAGUAGGGCGGGACACGUGGUAUCCUGUCUGAAUAUGGGGGGACCAUCCUCCAAGGCUAAAUACUCCUGACUGACCGAUAGUGAACCAGUACCGUGAGGGAAAGGCGAAAAGAACCCCGGCGAGGGGAGUGAAAAAGAACCUGAAACCGUGUACGUACAAGCAGUGGGAGCACGCUUAGGCGUGUGACUGCGUACCUUUUGUAUAAUGGGUCAGCGACUUAUAUUCUGUAGCAAGGUUAACCGAAUAGGGGAGCCGAAGGGAAACCGAGUCUUAACUGGGCGUUAAGUUGCAGGGUAUAGACCCGAAACCCGGUGAUCUAGCCAUGGGCAGGUUGAAGGUUGGGUAACACUAACUGGAGGACCGAACCGACUAAUGUUGAAAAAUUAGCGGAUGACUUGUGGCUGGGGGUGAAAGGCCAAUCAAACCGGGAGAUAGCUGGUUCUCCCCGAAAGCUAUUUAGGUAGCGCCUCGUGAAUUCAUCUCCGGGGGUAGAGCACUGUUUCGGCAAGGGGGUCAUCCCGACUUACCAACCCGAUGCAAACUGCGAAUACCGGAGAAUGUUAUCACGGGAGACACACGGCGGGUGCUAACGUCCGUCGUGAAGAGGGAAACAACCCAGACCGCCAGCUAAGGUCCCAAAGUCAUGGUUAAGUGGGAAACGAUGUGGGAAGGCCCAGACAGCCAGGAUGUUGGCUUAGAAGCAGCCAUCAUUUAAAGAAAGCGUAAUAGCUCACUGGUCGAGUCGGCCUGCGCGGAAGAUGUAACGGGGCUAAACCAUGCACCGAAGCUGCGGCAGCGACGCUUAUGCGUUGUUGGGUAGGGGAGCGU
rnacentral:rRNA from 1 species